rnacentral:rRNA from 1 species
AAAGUUGAAAAGAACUUUGAAGAGAGAGUUCAAGAGUACGUGAAACCGUUCAGGGGUAAACCUGAGAAACCCAAAAGAUCGAAUGGGGAGAUUCAUCGUCAGCUCAUUUUGUAUAUGUAUGAGUUACGAUGCGAGUUACUACUUGUAGUAUUGCUUGCACGUUCUUAUAUAUUUAGUUGCAAGAUGUUGUCGGCGUGCACUUCUCCCCUAGUAGAACGUCGCGACCCGUUGGGUGUCGGUCUACGGCCCAAGUGGUAGUCUUUAAUAUUUAAAAAUAUUGAAGACCCUUGGUGUUUUCUGACCGGCUAUUCGGCGGUACUCGUACGGUAUUAAGCCGCAUAUCUUAUUUUUAUGCGUCCAUGCCCGUCGCAAGCGAGGCCAAUUUCUGGUAGUGCGGACCUAGUGCCGUCGCUGGUAUUGGCCAGCUGUUGGUUGUUACGGUGUUCUAGGACUGGCUUAAAAAUUUAUAUUACCGGUCGGCGAUGCUACUGCUUUGGGUACUUUCAGGACCCGUCUUGAAACACGGACCAAGGAGUCUAACAUGUACGCAAGUCAUUGGGAUUUUUUUUAAAUUAAACCUAAAGGCAUAAUGAAAGUAAAAGUCGUCCUUGCGUCGACCGAGGGAGGAUGAGUUAUAUUAAGAUAUAGCUUCGCACUCCCGGGGCGUCUCAUUCUUAUUAUAAGAAGAGGCGCACCUAGAGCGUACACGUU